rnacentral:rRNA from 1 species
AUUGAACGCUGGCGGCAGGCCUAACACAUGCAAGUCGAGCGGAGCGGCGGACGGGUGAGUAAUGCCUAGGAAUCUGCCUGGCAGUGGGGGAUAACGUCCGGAAACGGGCGCUAAUACCGCAUACUAUCAGAUGAGCCUAGGUCGGAUUAGCUAGUUGGUGGGGUAAAGGCCUACCAAGGCGACGAUCCGUAUCUGGUCUGAGAGGAUGAUCAGUCACCCUGUACUGGAGCCACGAUCCGGACUACAACGGGAGGCAGCGGUGGAGAAUAUUGGACAAUGGGCGAAAGCCUAGUCCAGCCAUGCCGCGUGUGUGAAGAAGGUCUUCGGAUUGUAAAGCACUUUAAGUUGGGAGGCGUUACCAAAAGAAUAAGCACCGGCUAACUUCGUGCCAGCCGCCGCGGUAAUAC